rnacentral:lncRNA from 11 species
AAAAAUAAACAGAUUAAAACAACAGCAAGAAGGCAAUCAAAGUGGCAUGUAAGAACAGCCUGAUAUAGGCCACAACCUAGCCCUCAAGCCUACUGCGGCUUCCAGUUGCCAUGGCAACCUCCAAUGGAAUUAUGGGACUUGCAGUUCAGGGCGGAGCUCUCCGAACCCUUAGCCGGAGGACUCUUGGGCCUCACUGAACUACAAGUCCCAGAAUGCCUCCGUACGUUCAUAGCGCCAUACCAGUCUAUCAAGCGCCUAGGUCUCGAUUCCAGGUCCUGUCUCCUCACAAGUCACUCUUGCGAGAGGCGCUGAGGAAGAAAAUAGCUUUCCUUGAGCCUCAGAGCGCUUCUCGCUUCUCUCUUCCUCUUUAGCUCUAUUUUGAUUUGAUUCUUGGCGCGCUCGUGCAAGUUCGUGGCUCAGGCGGAGGAAGGAGCGCCCUCAGCAUGACUGCAGAGCCAGCCCCGAGCAGCCUUUCCCCUUCUUCGCCUGGCAGGGCGGCCAGAGCCAAAGCCCGGUGGAAGCUGCUCAGACAGGUUCUGAAAGAAAAACACUUGGAGAAUGUCCACCUUCAGCAAGUAUCAGUAAGGAGAUUUGCUUCGUUCAAUCUUUUCUCAAGCAUGAAAGAGGACAGAAAGCUAGCUGAAGAGGAUGAUGAAACUUGGGUUCGAUACAAAAGCAUCUCUUUUCCUGAGUAUAGUAUAUCUUUAAGAUGGAACAAUGGACAAUUAAAUGUUGAAGAUGUUCUGGCAAGUUUUGACAACACAGGGAACGUUUAUUUAUAUCCACCUGAAAAACAAUAUAUCUGGCGGUUGCCAAAACAUAUUCAACUUGGAACAAGCAGAUAGAGGACAUUACAACAAAAUCAGUGCUAUAACAUCAAAAAUAUAACUAAAAUCCAAGAUUUCUUCAAACAAAGUACCUUUCCUUUCAGUUUUUCAUUAGUCAAUUAGUCCUAGUGUCUGUACCACCAAAUAAUAAAGAACCAUGUCCUGGCAAUAGCCUGACUGAUAGAGGUCCUCUUUUGAUUAUUUUAGCUUUAUUGGCUCUGAAAAAAAAACAGGUAUGAAAGAGAUCAGGGUACAAUCUGAAAAAGCGAAGAUAAUAAAGCUUAGCACAUGAGUUGACACCAUGAAAUGCAGUGGUCUGUACCUCUGGUAUAAAUGGCCUAUUGAAGGAUUUUGCAGUUCUUUUCGUUGAAUGAAAGUAGGUUGCCUCUCAUAUGUCCCCAGAAAGCAGAAGAGCCACUUUUGUAAUCAAAACAUUUGAUACUCCCCGUAAAAAGGCCAUAUAAAGCUAAAGGUGCCUUUAGUGGAUCCUUCAGUAGUGGUACUUGGGUUUUUGCUCUCAACGAAUGAGAUAGAUUCUGUAAGUCUUCUGGGGGGGAAAAACACUUUAAAAGACUCAUGAAGUGUCAGCCUGCAGCUUUAAGUUAUUUCUUUUCUCAUGCUUUUCUCCCACAUAUAGAGGAUAUUUUAAAGAAUGUCAAUUUGGAUCAAAAGAUUUUACACUGGGAACGCUUAGAAAUCUACAGAGUUCUUUGUUUUGUGGCAGAUACUGCGGAAGUCUCUGCAUAUUUCCCAGGAAAUCCUGGUGUUUUUCAGGCUCCACUUUCCUAUUCGCAAGGAGGGAUGUUCAACAUCAAAGUUCAAAGACAAUUCUGUUUCUAUCUGUCCUUCAAAUUCAGAAUUCAAGCAAUGUGGACUCUAUCUCCCGUAGUAGAAUUUCCUUCAGAAGAACAACAUUUCUACAAACCCAAGAAAGAGUAAUUACAGUAGAGUCUCACUUAUCCAACAUUCUGGAUUAUCCAA